AAUCAACGCUGGCGGCGUGCCUCAGACAUGCAAGUCGAACGCGAAAGUCCCCGUUCGGGGGAUGAUUAGAGUGGCGCACGGGUGAGUAACACGUAGGUAAUCUACCUUCGAGUGGGGAAUAACUCAGGGAAACUUGAGCUAAUACCGCAUAAUGCAGCGGCACCACAUGGUGACAGUUGUUAAAGCAUUUAUGCGCUUGAAGAGGAGCCUGCGGCGGAUAGCUAGUUGGUAAGGUAAUGGCUUACCAAGGCUACGAUCUGUAACCGGCCUGAGAGGGCGGACGGUCACACUGACACUGAAUAACGGGUCAGACUCCUACGGGAGGCAGCAGUCGGGAAUUUUGGGCAAUGGGCGAAAGCCUGACCCAGCAACGCCGCGUGAAGGAUG
rnacentral:rRNA from 1 species